rnacentral:rRNA from 1 species
UGGGGAAUAUUGGACAAUGGAGGGAACUCUGAUCCAGCAAUUCGGUGUGUGUGAAGAAGGUUUUAGGACUGUAAAACACAUUUAGUAGGGAAGAAAAAAAUGACGGUACCUACAGAAGAAGCAACGGCUAAAUACGUGCCAGCAGCCGCGGUAAUACGUAUGUUGCGAGCGUUAUCCGGAAUUAUUGGGCUUAAAGGGCAUCUAGGCGGUAAGACAAGUUGAAGGUGAAAACCUGUGGCUCAACCAUAGGCUUGCCUACAAAACUGUUGAACUAGAGUACUGGAAAGGUGGGUGGAACUACACGAGUAGAGGUGAAAUUCGUAGAUAUGUGUAGGAAUACCGAUGAUGAAGAUAACUCACUGGACAGAAACUGACGCUGAAGUGCGAAAGCUAGGGGAGCAAACAGA